AUGAACGCUGGCGGCGUGCCUAAUACCUGCAAGUCGAGCGAACAGACGAGGAGCUUGCUCCUCUGACGUUAGCGGCGGACGGGUGAGUAACACGUGGAUAACCUACCUAUAAGACUGGGAUAACUUCGGGAAACCGGAGCUAAUACCGGAUAAUAUAUUGAACCGCAUGGUUCAAUAGUGAAAGACGGUUUUGCUGUCACUUAUAGAUGGAUCCGCGCCGCAUUAGCUAGUUGGUAAGGUAACGGCUUACCAAGGCAAUGAUGCGUAGCCGACCUGAGAGGGUGAUCGGCCACACUGGAACUGAGACACGGUCCAGACUCCUACGGGAGGCAGCAGUAGGGAAUCUUCCGCAAUGGGCGAAAGCCUGACGGAGCAACGCCGCGUGAGUGAUGAAGGUCUUCGGAUCGUAAAACUCUGUUAUUAGGGAAGAACAAAUGUGUAAGUAACUAUGCACGUCUUGACGGUACCUAAUCAGAAAGCCACGGCUAACUACGUG
rnacentral:rRNA from 1 species